rnacentral:misc_RNA from 1 species
GAAAUGCGAUAAGUAGUGUGAAUUGCAGAAUUCAGUGAAUCAUCGAAUCUUUGAACGCACAUUGCGCCCCUUGGUAUUCCAUGGGGCAUGCCUGUUCGAGCGUCAUUUGUACCCUCAAGCUCUGCUUGGUGUUGGGUGUUUGUCCCCGUCUCCGCGCGUGGACUCGCCCCAAAGUGAUUGGCAGCCGGCGUACUGGUCCCGGAGCGCAGCACAUGUCGCGCAAACGAGUGCCUUGGUACGGCGGCGUCCAUAAGCCCCUCUCUCACGCUCUUGACCUCGGGUCAGGUAGGGAUACCCGCUGAACUUAAGC